rnacentral:rRNA from 1 species
GGAGGAAGGCGGGGAUGACGUCAAAUCAUCAUGCCCCUUAUGACCUGGGCUACACACGUACUACAAUGGCCGGUACAACGGGCCGCGAAGCCGCGAGGCGGAGCCAAUCCUAAAAAGCCGGUCUCAGUUCGGAUUGCAGGCUGCAGCUCGCCUGCAUGAAGUCGGAAUUGCUAGUAAUCGCGGAUCAGCAUUUUGCGGUGAAUACGUUCCCGGGUCUUGUACACACCGCCCGUCACACCACGAGAGUUUACAACACCCGAAGUCGGUGGGGUAACCCGCAAGGGAGCCAGCCGCCGAAGGUGGGGUAGAUG